rnacentral:tRNA from 1 species
GCGAGAGUGGCGGAACUGGUAGACGCACUGGAUUUAGGAUCCAGCGGCCCGUGCCGUGGGGGUUCGAGUCCCCCCUCUCGCACCA